AUUGAACGCUGGCGGCAGGCCUAACACAUGCAAGUCGAACGAGUGGCGGACGGGAGAGUAAUGUCUGGGAAACUGCAUGAUGGAGGGGGAUAACUACUGGAAACGGUAGCUAAUACCGCAUAACAUCAUAUGUGCCCUGAGGGGUUUGGCUUGUUGGUGGGGUAUCGGCGCACCAAGGCUACGAUCCCUAGCUGGUCUGCGAGGAGGACCAGCCAAACUGGAACGUGGACACGGUCCAGACUCCUACGGGAGGAAGCAGUGGGGAAUAUUGCACAAUGGGCGCAAGCCUGAUGCAGCCAUGCCGCGGGUAUAAAGAAGGCCUUGGGGUGGAAAAGUACUUUCAGCGGGGAGGCGUUACCCGCAGAAGAAGCACCGGCUAACUCCGUGCCAGCAGCCGCGGUAAUAC
rnacentral:rRNA from 1 species